CACCUGGCUUUGACCCGAGGGCAAAUCAGAUAAGUCUUGAGAAAUUGCCCAGACACAGUAUUGAGGCUGGUGAUGCAAGAAGCAGCCCGUGUGCUGUGCUGUGGGGCGGGCGUGGACUGCACUGCAAACAGGGCACGCAGGAGGCCCCGCGGCCUGGCACUGGCUCCUGGCCGGCUCUCCUGGCCCACAGGUCAGUGGCUAUGCAGCCUUGGGACAGAGCAGCCGGUAACUGAGGUAACUGAACGUAGCCUCCUGACAGCCCACAACAGGGCUCUGGGAGGCAUGUCGCCUGCAAGGACUCACAGAACUUGGUUUAAAGUAAGUCACCCGAGAGCAGAGGUGCCGAUGGGGGGACUGGGCGGGGGCACUCCCAGGCCCCAGCACCACUCUGCAAGUUCAAGCCACGAGAAAGGGCCCCCCCUCCAGUGGCCUUGGUCCUGCCGGGAGGAGGGCAGGGGCUCAGGAGGGCACUGCGGGCGGUGACUCUCAGACUCGACGACAGCCUCUCCCAGCCUGCAGUGAGUGAGACGGCACCGUGGUCCUGGCCGGGGUGUCUCAGGCUCAGAUACCUGCAUGUCCGAGUGGGGUCCAACUGUGCGUUGAGGCACUGAGUGGAGAACUGGCUUUCGGGCUGGGGUCACCUCUCUGGCUCAGGGCCCGCUGCUGGGGAAGGUGGGCUCUCGCUCAGGCGGAGAUCUCGGUGUUCAGGAAGCCCUGCCAGGCCAGCCCCCGCGAGGAAACCAAGGACCCACUGGUGGGGCAGAGUUCAGACACGGGCCGGACCGCCCUCUUGCCUCUGGAUCUGAGCCACGGGCCACAUCCCCGCUGCCUCUGAGCCUGCCCCUGGCUAGUGAUGCUGGCCUCCACCUGGGGAGGGAAACUGCGCCAGCCCUCUGUGUGGCGAAGGGGCCGGCGCGCUGUGCCCAGGGCACGGGGGCCGGGGGGAGACACCCACCUGUCUGUCGGGGCCGCAGGGGCCUUGGAAUUCUGGCCCCUCUGCCGCUCUGGCUUCGGGGAGCUGAGCCUCCCACCUGACUUCCGGUCCCGAGAACCUGGGUGACAGAGGACAGAAAGACGUAAGGAGCAGAGCCAGUGAGAAAAGGAAAAGGGGAGGAUGGAUUACACUGGAAAAUGAAGCCCCAGAAAAACACGGAAGCCGAGGUCUAAUUUCGGUUCUGGUUUCCCGAGCCAGCAUCAAAACAGGCCACCGAGCUCUGAGCGUCCAACUCCAAGCAGACAAAAACCUCCUUCCGUGCCUUGAAGAAACUCACGAGGCCGAGUGAUUUGUGUGACCAGAAGAGAUGGGAUCCCAGCCAUAAGAGGGUUG